rnacentral:rRNA from 1 species
CCUACGGGAGGCUGCAGUGAGGAAUAUUGGUCAAUGGACGAGAGUCUGAACCAGCCAAGUAGCGUGUAGGAUGACUGCCCUAUGGGUUGUAAACUUCUUUUAUAUGGGAAUAAAACGUUCCACGUGUGGGAUUUUGUAUGUACCAUAUGAAUAAGGAUCGGCUAACUCCGUGCCAGCAGCCGCGGUAAUACGGAGGAUCCGAGCGUUAUCCGGAUUUAUUGGGGUUAAAGGGAGCGUAGGUGGGUUGUUAAGUCAGUUGUGAAAGUUUGCGGCUCAACCGUAAAAAUGCAGUUGAAACUGGCAGUCUUGAGUACAGUAGAGGUAGGCGGAAUUCGUGGUGUAGCGGUGAAAUGCUUAGAUAUCACGAAGAACUCCGAUUGCGAAGGCAGUUCACUGGACUACAACUGACACUGAGGCUCGAAAGUGUGGGUAUCAAACAGGAUUAGAUACCCUUGUAGUC